GAUGAAGAACGUAGCGAAAUGCGACACGUAAUGUGAAUUGCAGAAUUCAGUGAAUCAUCGAAUCUUUGAACGCACAUUGCGCCUGCCAGCACUCUGGCAGGCAUGCCUGUUCGAGCGUCAUUUCAACCAUCAAGCCCUAGGCUUGCGUUGGAGCCCUGCGGCUGCCGCAGGCCCCUAAAAGCAGUGGCGGGCUCGCUAUCACACCGAGUGCAGUAGAUUACUCUUCGCUCAGGGCGUGUGGCGGGUUCCAGCCGUGAAACCCCCUACUUCUCAAGGUUGACCUCGGAUCAGGUAGGAAUACCCGCUGAACUUAAGCAUAUCAAUAAGCGGAGGA
rnacentral:misc_RNA from 1 species